GAAAUGCGAUAAGUAAUGUGAAUUGCAGAAUUCAGUGAAUCAUCGAAUCUUUGAACGCACAUUGCGCCCGCCAGCACUCUGGCGGGCAUGCCUGUUCGAGCGUCAUUUCAACCAUCAAGCCCCCGGGCUUGUGUUGGGGACCUGCGGCUGCCCGCAGGCCCUGAAAACCAGUGGCGGGCUCGCUGUCACACCGAGCGUAGUAGCAAUCACCUCGCUCAGGGCGUGCUGCGGGUUCCGGCCGUUAAACAGCCUUACAAAACCCAAGGUUGACCUCGGAUCAGGUAGGAAGACCCGCUGAACUUAAGC
rnacentral:misc_RNA from 1 species